UACGUAGGCAGCGAGCGUUGCUCGGAGUUACUGGGCGUAAAGGGUGUGUAGGCGGUUGGUUAAGUUUGGUGUGAAAUCUCCCGGCUCAACCGGGAGGGUGCGCCGAAUACUGAAUGACUAGAGUGCGGGAGAGGUGAGUGGAAUUCCUGGUGUAGCGGUGAAAUGCGUAGAUAUCAGGAGGAACACCGGUGGUGUAGACGGCUCACUGGACCGUAACUGACGCUGAGACACGAAAGCGUGGGUAGCAAACAGG
rnacentral:rRNA from 1 species